rnacentral:rRNA from 1 species
CGAGGCAGAAAUGCGUAGUCGAUGGGAAACGGGUUAAUAUUCCCGUACUUCAUAUAACUGCGAUGGGAAGACGGAGAAGGUUAGCUCAGCAAGGCGAUGGUUGUCCUUGUUCAAGCGUGUAGAAAUGGUUCUUAGGAAAAUCCGGGAACCUCUAUUUCAAGGCGUGAUAACGAUCCCUCUUUUGGGAGAAGUGAGUGAUACCAUGCUUCCAGGAAAAUCCUCUAAGCUUCAGGUUAUAUGAAACCGUACCCCAAACCGACACAGGUGGACGAGAUGAGAAUUCUAAGGCGCUUGAGAGAACUCGGGUGAAGGAACUAGGCAAAAUGACACCGUAACUUCGGGAGAAGGUGUACUCUUGUUAUGUGAAAUCACUCGCUGAUAGAGCAGAAAAGAGUUGAAAAUACUAGGUGGCUGCGACUGUUUAUUAAAAACACAGCACUCUGCAAACACGUAAGUGGACGUAUAGGGUGUGACUCCUGCCCGGUGCUUGAAGGUUAAUUGAUGAGGUUAGCGCUUGCGCGAAGCUUUUGAUCGAAGCCCAAGUAAACGGCGGCCGUAACUAUAACGGUCCUAAGGUAGCGAAAUUCCUUGUCGGGUAAGUUCCGACCUGCACGAAUGGAGUAACGACGGCCACACUGUCUCCACCCGAGACUCAGUGAAAUUGAAAUUGCUGUUAAGAUGCAGUAUACCCGCGGCCAGACGGAAAGACCCCGUGCACCUUUACUACAGCUUUGCAUUGAACUCUGAUCCUACUUGUGUAGGAUAGGUGGGAGGCUUUGAAGCUUUAACGCUAGUUAGAGUGGAGCCACCCUUGAAAUACCACCCUGGUAUGGUUGGGGUUCUAACCUAGGUCCGUAAUCCGGAUCGGGAACAAUGCAUGGUGGGUAGUUUGACUGGGGCGGUCUCCUCCCAAAGAGUAACGGAGGAGCGCAAAGGUAUCCUCAGCACGGUCGGACAUCGUGCAAUGAGCGCAAAGGUAAAAGGAUGCUUGACUGCGAGACUGACACGUCGAGCAGGUAGGAAACUAGGUCUUAGUGAUCCGGUGGUUCUGAGUGGAAGGACCAUCGCUCAACGGAUAAAAGGUACGCCGGGGAUAACAGGCUGAUACCCCC